rnacentral:rRNA from 1 species
GUCGAGGAUCUUCUGCAAUGGGCGCAAGCCUGACAGAGCGACGCUGCGUGGAGGAUGAAGGCCUUCGGGUUGUAAACUCCUGUCAUUUGGGAACAAUGCUGGCGGGGUGAAUAUCCUCGCCAGGUGAUGGUACCAGAAGAGGAAGCCACGGCUAACUCUGUGCCAGCAGCCGCGGUAAUACAGAGGUGGCGAGCGUUGUUCGGAUUUACUGGGCGUAAAGGGUGCGUAGGUGGUUCCGUAUGUCGGUUGUGAAAGCCCAUGGCCUAACCAUGGAACUGCUGCCGAAACUACGGUACUUGAGUGCAGGAGGGGAGAGUGGAAUUCUUGGUGUAGCGGUGAAAUGCGUUGAUAUCAAGAAGAACACCGGCGGCGUAGGCGGCUCUCUGGAAUGCAACUGACACUGAGGCACGAAAGCCGGGGGAGCAAACAGGAUUAGAAACCCGAGUAGUCC